rnacentral:rRNA from 1 species
ACGGAGAGUUUGAUCCUGGCUCAGGAUGAACGCUAGCGGCAGGCCUAAUACAUGCAAGUCGAACGAGAUUCUUUUCUUCGGAGAAGAUGAAAGUGGCGCACGGGUGCGUAACGCGUAUGCAAUCUACCUUGUACUAAGGUAUAGCCCGAAGAAAUUCGGAUUAAUCCCUUAUAGUAUUGUCACUUCGCAUGUUGCGACAAUUAAAGGUUACGGUACAAGAUGAGCAUGCGUCCCAUUAGCUAGAUGGUAAGGUAACGGCUUACCAUGGCUACGAUGGGUAGGGGGCCUGAGAGGGUUAUCCCCCACACUGGUACUGAGACACGGACCAGACUCCUACGGGAGGCAGCAGUGAGGAAUAUUGGUCAAUGGACGAAAGUCUGAACCAGCCAUGCCGCGUG